AUACUUACCUGGCAGGGAAAAUACCAUCAUCACGAAGGUGUUUUUCCCAGGGCGAGGCUUAUCCAUUGCACAAAGGCGACGCUGACCUCUGCAGUUUCCCCAACUGUGGGAAACUCAACGGCAUAAUUUGCGGUGGAGGACUUCUUC
ensembl:snRNA U1 U1 spliceosomal RNA